rnacentral:rRNA from 1 species
UACGGGGGGGGUAAGCGUUGUUCGGAAUUACUGGGCGUAAAGGGCUCGUAGGCGGUCUGUUGCGUCGGGAGUGAAAACUUACAGCUUAACUGUGAGCGUGCUUUCGAUACGGGCAGACUUGAGGCAUUCAGGGGAGAACGGAAUUCCUGGUGUAGCGGUGAAAUGCGCAGAUAUCAGGAGGAACACCGGUGGCGAAGGCGGUUCUCUGGGAAUGUCCUGACGCUGAGGAGCGAAAGUGUGGGGAGCGAACAGG